GCCCACCUGGUUCAGUGGCAGAACCUCGCUUGGCCAAGGCGAAAACAUCGGUUCGAUUCCGAUGGUGGGCU
rnacentral:tRNA from 1 species